rnacentral:rRNA from 1 species
GACGUAGGAGGCGAGCGUUGUCCGGAUUCAUUGGGCGUAAAGAGCACGCAGGCGGUUUGGCAAGUCGGACGUGAAAAUCCGGGGCUCAACCCCGGACCUGCAUCCGAAACUGCCCGACUAGAGGUAGGUAGGGGAGAUCGGAAUUCCUGGUGUAGCGGUGAAAUGCGCAGAUAUCAGGAGGAACACCAAUUGCGAAGGCAGCUCGCUGGGACGUUACUGACGCUGAGACGCGAAAGCGUGGGGAGCAAACAGG